AAAGGGGGCGCCGAGGGAUUCAGACGUGAGCUGGGGGCAGGAGAAGGGCGCCCUUGGGAAGGAGGCGGGAGGGAGCGCGUGAAAGAGGGAGCGCCCAGGGCAGGGGAUGUGGUUGGGGGGGGCGCGAAGUGCUGCAUUUCUAGGGGAGGUGCUAAGCUCGCAUCCUGGCCCUUCCCACCUCGCCGCCGCAGGGAGGGAGGGGGCCGGCGUGGGCUGAUGCUCGUAGUCUCCCGCCCCCGGACCACCCCCUCCAGAGUCCGGGAGCUGUGCAGCCCCAGAUCCUCUGGCUAAGGACUGGCCUGGGCGCCCCGAAAGCCCGCAGGACUGAGUUGUCAGUCUCUGGAGGAGCGGGUCGUCUAGAAGUCAGUCUGUUUCCCUGGCACCCAUCCUUCGCACUUAAACCUGGCCGCGAGUCCCCCUUGAAGGUAGAAGUGUCUGGCAUGGAUCGCUCCCGAGGAAGCUCAGCCUCAGGCUCAGUCACCUGGGCUCUCUCCGACCGUCCAGGGACGCCGCGAGGAAAGCGAUCGUGCGGAUCGCUCGCCACCAGCCGCUCUCCAAAUGUGUGCAGAAUGGAGGCGAAAGCCAUCUGGUGGUCUUCUGGAUGACAAAGCCAUGCCAUAUCUCAUGGAGAUGAUCUAAGAAGCAUCCAAAGAGACUUCAGGACCUACGUGGCCUUUGGUACAGCCAUUGUGGGAGUACCACACACAAACACAGCCAAGAAGGAUGCUGGCACCAGAGGGUCCCCUGAGAGCCACCCUCAGCCCUCCCAUUGGUGUGCCAGGCUUCUCAGAGUUAUGCUCAGAGAAGGACCCAGUUACUCAGGCUACGAUGAUCUUUUUUCACCUCUUUUAACAAAAAUAUUGAAAUAUGUCACAAGCUUAGAAAAACAUAAAAGAUAUAAAUGUGCACAAUUUAUUUAAAAAUUCUAAACACCUGUGUGACUACCACUCGCAUGAAGACAUAAUAUGUUGCCUGAAACUCCUCAUGUGAUCCGCCUUAAUCAUGCCCCUUCCCUGAAAUAAAACACUAUGGUCAACCACUUCGUUGCUUUCUUUUAUAUCUCUACCACCUUAGUAAAUAUCCCAGGACAAUAUUUCAGCUUUGUCGGCUUUGAAUUUAAAAUAAAUUAAGUCAUAUUUUAUGUAUUUGUGUCAAUAUAAAAAUUAUCCAUGUUAUGGAGUGUACUGUGGCUCAUUCAUUUUCACUACUGUAUAGUAUUCUGUUGUAUGAUUAUACCACAGUUACUCAUUCUGCCUUUGAUAGGUUUUUGGUUGUUUCCAGUCAUUGCCUAUUGCAGACCAUGCUG
rnacentral:lncRNA from 1 species